rnacentral:rRNA from 1 species
UACGUAGGGGGCGAGCGUUGUCCGGAUUUAUUGGGCGUAAAGAGCGUGUAGGCGGCCAGGUAGGUCUGCUGUGAAAACUCGAGGCUCAACCUCGAGACGUCGGCGGAAACCAUCUGGCUAGAGUCCGGAAGAGGAGAGUGGAAUUCCUGGUGUAGCGGUGAAAUGCGCAGAUAUCAGGAAGAACACCCGUGGCGAAGGCAGGUCUCUGGGCUGACACUGACGCUCAUGCACGAAAGCGUGGGGAGCAAACAGG